GAUGAACGCUGGCGGCGUGCCUAAUACAUGCAAGUCGUGCGAAUGGAUUAAGAGCUUGCUCUUAUGAAGUUAGCGGCGGACGGGUGAGUAACACGUGGGUAACCUGCCCAUAAGACUGGGAUAACUCCGGGAAACCGGGGCUAAUACCGGAUAACAUUUUGAACCGCAUGGUUCGAAAUUGAAAGGUGGCUUCGGCUAUCACUUAUGGAUGGACCCGCGUCGCAUUAGCUAGUUGGUGAGGUAACGGCGCACCAAGGCAACGAUGCGUAGCCGACCUGAGAGGGUGAUCGGCCACACUGGGACUGAGACACGGCCCAGACUCCUACGGGAGGCAGCAGUAGGGAAUCUUCCGCAAUGGACGAAAGUCUGACGGAGCAACGCCGCGUGAGUGAUGAAGGCUUUCGGGCCGUAAAACUCUGUUGUUAGGGAAGAACAAGUGCUAGUUGAAUAAGCUGGCACCUUGACGGUACCUAACCAGAAAGCCACGGCUAACUACGUGCCAGCCGCCGCGGUAA
rnacentral:rRNA from 1 species